CGCGUUUAGAGGAUCAGUGGCGGCGGGCCCGCGCGGUGCCAGCGACUAGCAGAGAGAUGUCUUGGCCCCUUCCAGGUUUGGGAGAAUGGAGAGAGCAAGGUGUAGCUGAUUAGCAAGUUAAUUAUUUCAGUACCCCAAGGGUUCAUGCGUGGUGGAGAUGGCCUUGGGGGAGCAACCUCCGGACCUCAGCAGUGUGAGGAUGACGACAACAGUACCCUGGGGUGCUGUCCCCACUCAGGGUUUCUCUGUGUAGCCCUGACUGUCCUGCAACUCACUCUGCAGACCAGGCUGGCCUCGAACUCAGAGAUCUACCUGCCUUUGCCUCUGGAGUACUGGGAUUAAAGAUGCAGAGGCCUCCCAGUGAAGUGUGAAGGGAUGGGCCUUAACCAGGGUUGAAGAAAGAAAGUGAAGAAGGGGAGAGCCCAAGGAAAGGUGGGGACAGUUGGAACUUCUGAUUACACUCUUCUGGUCUACUUCUCAUGUAUCAUAUGCUAUAAUCUCCAAAUUCCAUAUUUAUUGUAGCAGUCUGCGGUGUGUAUGCCCCGGCCGCAUGCUGCUUGGCUAAAAAAGUGUUAAAUAAAACUGUAAGAAACGAUA
rnacentral:lncRNA from 1 species